rnacentral:rRNA from 1 species
UACAGGGGUCCCAAGCGUUGUUCGGAUUCAUUGGGCGUAAAGGGUGCGUAGGCGGCGCGGUAAGUCGGGUGUGAAAUCUCGGAGCUUAACUCCGAAACUGCAUUCGAUACUGCCGUGCUUGAGGACUGGAGAGGAGACUGGAAUUUACGGUGUAGCGGUGAAAUGCGUAGAUAUCGUAAGGAAGACCAGUGGCGAAGGCGGGUCUCUGGACAGUUCCUGACGCUGAGGCACGAAGGCCAGGGGAGCAAACGGG